rnacentral:lncRNA from 10 species
AAAACUUUUGCUCUCAGAGACUAGAAGCAUGACAGAAAGCUACCCUUAGGUGAUUUGGACUGGUUUGAAGUGCAUGAAACAACAAACAGGAUGCCUAAACAUCCUUUAUUACAAACAGCUAUGAGAAUUUUGAGGCCAAGGAUAUGAUUGCAACAUCCUGCAGGUUCCAGGAUGCCUGAAAACAUGUAUAUGUGACAAGUUCCCAGGGUAUUUCCGUGCCCAUUCGAUGCAUGACACAGUUCUGAAUGCCAACCUGGUAGAAUUAAAAGUACCAGCAUCAUUUCCCUCGAGCAGAAAAAAAUGCUGCUGGAAGCCUUACUAAGUCAAUAAAUG